UACGUCGGUGACAAGCGUUGUCCGGAUUUACGGGGCGUAAAGAGCGCGCAGGCGGUCGUUCAAGUCGAGUGUGAAAGCCCCCGGCUCAACUGGGGAGGGUCACUCGAUACUGAUCGACUCGAAGGCAGGAGAGGGUAGUGGAAUUCCCGGUGUAGUGGUGAAAUGCGUAGAUAUCGGGAGGAACACCAGUGGCGAAGGCGACUACCUGGCCUGUUCUUGACGCUGAGGCGCGAAAGCUAGGGGAGCAAACGGG
rnacentral:rRNA from 1 species